rnacentral:rRNA from 1 species
CGCGAAUGGCUCAUUACAACAGCCUUAGUUUAUUGGAUCUUAGAGUCCUACUUGGAUAACUGUGGUAAUUCUAGAGCUAAUACACGCAAUUAAUCCUCAACCUUACGGGCGAGGAGCAUUUAUUAGAACAAAACCAAUCGGCUUCGGCCGUAUCUGGUGAAUCUGAAUAACUACGCUGAUCGCAUGGUCUCGUACCGGCGACAUAUCCUUCAAGUGUCUGCCUUAUCAACUGUCGAUGGUAGUUUACACGCCUACCAUGGUUGUAACGGGUAACGGAGAAUAAGGGUUCGACUCCGGAGAGGGAGCCUGAGAAACGGCUACCACAUCCAAGGAAGGCAGCAGGCGCGCAAAUUACCCACUCUCAGAACGAGGAGGUAGUGACGAAAAAUAACGAGACAGUUCUCUAUGAGGUCUGUCAUCGGAAUGGGUACAAUUUAAACCCUUUAACGAGGAUCUAUUGGAGGGCAAGUCUGGUGCCAGCAGCCGCGGUAAUUCCAGCUCCAAUAGCGUAUAUUAAAGUUGUUGCGGUUAAAAAGCUCGUAGUUGGAUCUGCGGUCGUAGACUCUGGUUCCCUCCUAGGGAUACUAGCUGUCUCGACCUACCUUGUUAGAUUUCCCUUGGUGCUCUUUACUGAGUGCCUUGGGUGUCUAGCUCGUUUACUUUGAAAAAAUUAGAGUGCUUAAAGCAGGCAUUUGCCUGAAUAGUGGUGCAUGGAAUAAUGGAAUAGGACCUCGGUUCUAUUUUGUUGGUUUUCGGAGCAUGAGGUAAUGAUUAAGAGGGACAGACGGGGGCAUUCGUACUGCUACGUUAGAGGUGAAAUUCUUGGAUCGUAGCAUGACGAACAACUGCGAAAGCAUUUGCCAAGAAUGUUUUCAUUAAUCAAGAACGAUAGUUAGAGGUUCGAAGGCGAUCAGAUACCGCCC